GACGAACGCUGGCGGCGUGCUUAACACAUGCAAGUCGAACGGAAAGGCCCUGCUUUUGUGGGGUGCUCGAGUGGCGAACGGGUGCGUAACACGUGAGUAACCUGCCCUUGACUUUGGGAUAACUUCAGGAAACUGGGGCUAAUACCGGAUAGGAGCUCCUGCUGCAUUGUGGGGGUUGGAAAGUUUCGGCGGUUGGGGAUGGACUCGCGGCUUAUCAGCUUGUUGGUGGGGUAGUGGCUUACCAAGGCUUUGACGGGUAGCCGGCCUGAGAGGGUGACCGGCCACAUUGGGACUGAGAUACGGCCCAGACUCCUACGGGAGGCAGCAGUGGGGAAUAUUGCACAAUGGGCGGAAGCCUGAUGCAGCAACGCCGCGUGCGGGAUGACGGCCUUCGGGUUGUAAACCGCUUUCGCCUGUGACGAAGCGUGAGUGACGGUGAUGGGUAAAGAAGCACCGGCUAACUACGU
rnacentral:rRNA from 1 species